UACAGAGGGGGCAAGCGUUGUUCGGAAUUACUGGGCGUAAAGGGCGCGUAGGUGGCCUGUUAAGUCGAACGUGAAAUCCCUGGGCUCAACCCAGGAACUGCGUCCGAUACUGGCAGGCUUGAAUUCGGGAGAGGGAUGCGGAAUUCCAGGUGUAGCGGUGAAAUGCGUAGAUAUCAGGAGGAACACCGGUGGCGAAGGCGGAUCUCUGGGCCUUGCCUGACGCUGAGGCGCGAAAGCUAGGGGAGCGAACAGG
rnacentral:rRNA from 1 species